rnacentral:rRNA from 1 species
GUAAGGAAUAUUGGUCAAUGGACGAAAGUCUGAACCAGCCAUGCCGCGUGGAGGAUGAAGGUCCUCUGGAUUGUAAACUUCUUUUAUAUGGGACGAAAAAAGGCUUUUCUAAGUCGUCUGACGGUACCAUAUGAAUAAGCACCGGCUAACUCCGUGCCAGCAGCCGCGGUAAUACGGAGGGUGCAAGCGUUAUCCGGAUUCACUGGGUUUAACGGGUGCGUAGGUGGAUUGCCAAGUCCGUGGUGAAAUCUUCGAGCUUAACUCGGAAACUGCCAUGGAUACUGGUGAUCUUGAAUAUCGUGGAGGUUAGCGGAAUAUGUCAUGUAGCGGUGAAAUGCUUAGAUAUGACAUAGAACACCAAUUGCGAAGGCAGCUGGCUACGCGAAUAUUGACACUCAGGCACGAAAGCGUGGGGAUCAAACAGGAUUAGAUACCCGGGUAGUCC